rnacentral:lncRNA from 1 species
AUGGGAUAUCCAUGCUUAAAUGAAAUAAUACCUUGAUCCAAUCAUGAAGUAGAGAAAUAACUCUUGCAUUCUCCUAGUUCAUCCAAAGUUACUAUAGCUCCUGAAAAUCAUUUAAAAUAUAUUUAGAAAGACAAAAAUCAGAAGAACAAAACUAACAUCCAAAACUUAUUUUAAGAGUAGUUAGGAUCUCUUGGUUUUUUUUAUCAGCUAAUUAAAUUAAAGGAUACUUAAGGGGCCCUUUAACAAAAAAAUGCAAAAGCAACAAAGAUGUUCUAAUCAUCUAUGUCUCUAUUACAACCCUACACUAGUGCUUAUAACAGAGAAAUGCGCAGCUAAGAAUCCCUUUAAUGCAUCAUCAGUGCAUAAACAAGACAACACUAUAUUCCACACAUUAUGCAUCACCCUAAAAAUUCAGAAAGCACAACACUUUAAUUACAUAGGACAGAACCAGUGGUGACACUAACAAGUCAGAGGAGCAUUAUCCAAACUUCACAACAUGACCAUGAUUAGGAGGGCCUCUGGAAAACUCCCACUAGAGAAUGAUGUGAUUGGAGGAUAUGUAACUAUAAUACCAUAAAGCAUGCCACCUUCCAUCAGAAUUCCACCGCAAUACGAAAUGACUUAGCCAUGAUACUUCCUCGUGCAUAAAGAUAUGUGCCUGUUUUAUGUGUGGUAGGAAUUGAUUUCUAGACAACACCUGCAUCAACUGCAUAGACGAAUACCGCAGAAAAUAUAACAGUUUAAGGCUCCUUAGUGCAAAACGCAGGUAAUAACCAGCCAUCAAAGGAAAGGAUGAGCAAAAAACAUAUUUCAUAUCUAGAUAGAGUGAACAACCGCAUGUCCCAGGGCAUGGUUAAAUAAUGUUGCUACAAAUUCCUCGAGCCUACUCUCAUAUAUCACAAAGUAUAUCAUAAAUGAUUUUGUGGUUUUUUUCAUAAUGUUCAAAAGGGGAUUGUAUGGUAAAACUGAAAUUGUUAUAUGCUAAAGUUUUGGAAUUUGAUUAAUAUUAUUAUUGGGUUGUUAAGAUUUAAUUAGUUAGGAUUUUAUCAUUUAUUUAUUUUAUUAGGAUUUUAUCAUUUAUUUAUUUUAUUAGGAUUUUAUCAUUUAUUUAAUUAGUUAGGAUUUUAUUAGGAUUUUAUUGGGAUUUUAUGAUAUUUAGUACUCUAUAAAUAGAGUAUUGAACUAUUAUUUGAGAUAUGAAUAAUAUAUGCAAUUUGUUUCCUUUUCUCAAUUCUCUAUCAAUUCUCUAUCAUUGUUCUUGUUCUUGGUAUAAUCGGAAACCACCUAAAGGUUCCCUUUGUCCAAAGCCUAAUCGUUCUUCGAAAUCUCUUACGAGAUGACCUAGACGCUUCUACACACGAUCGUUCAUAUCAAUUGGUAUCAGCUAGGACCUUCCAGUACUUUCAAUGGCAGAUUCAACACGCUUCGCUCAAGCUGCUAAGGAGAUGGAAGAUCGAAUCUCCCAAAGGAUGGAUAAUAGGUUUCUGGAACUCGCGAAUACGUUGAAGGAAACCUUGACUCUUUCUAUAAAAGACACCAUGCAGGAAUUACUUACUCAAUCUCAAGGAGAAGGGGCCCAUGGCCUCUCCAAUGACAACAUGGGGUUUGGUGCAAUAUGCGAUGAUCCCAUGGUUGAGUUGUUGCGUUUACGACAAAAGACUUCAGUUGAUGCCUAUCAUGAAGAGUUCAAUUCAAUCAUUACAACAUUGAAGUUAUCUGAUGAUCAUAUUCUAGGGUGCUUCCUUGGUGGAUUAAAGAAAGAAAUCCAGAUGAUGGUAAGAAUGUUCCGACCUCAGUCUCUACAACAUGCGUUUACAUUGGCCAGGACGUAUGAAGGACAUAAUUCAAGCAAUUCGAUGGCCAAAUUCCACAGGGGAGUCUUGGGUCCAGCACCAGUGCCUAUAUCGUCGUCUGCUUCAAUCAAUGUGGCCCCUAAACCCAAACCAACACACCACUUCCCACUUGAGUUCAUAGCAGAACGUAGGGCCAAAGACCUUCUUCACGUCAUGGAGAUGGAGGAAGAUGACUCAUAUGAUAGUCCUCCCAGUUAUGUGACUGAAUUAUUGCAAAGGAAUGAGCCACAAAUCACAGUCAACGCAUUAACCAUAGUGGUUGGGUUCAGAACCAUGAGAAUAGUUGGAUAUCAUAAAAAACGACCUUUACAUAUUCUCAUUGAUAGUGGCAGCACUCAUAAUUUCAAAGAUACCCAAAUGGAUAAAAAAUAUGGGUGCAUAAUUGAUACGAUUGCCCAUUUGAAUGUCAUGGUAAGCUGAGCUCUACCACAAACCUUAAAAAAAUUAAGAAGGUUUUUGGGCUUAGCUGGAUAUUAUAGAAGAUUUGUUCGUGGGUAUGACGUCAUUGCUACACCUGAUAUGCUUAAGAAGGAUAAUUUCAUUUGAAGACGAAGUACCAUUGUUCCAUUCUUGAGGGCAAGAAUGUUGUUGAGGGGAGGGCAUUGUUAUAUGCUAAAGUUUUGGGAUUUGAUUAAUAUUAUUAUUGGGUUGUUAAGAUUUAAUUAGUUAGGAUUUUAUCAUUUAUUUAUUUUAUUAGGAUUUUAUUAGGAUUUUAUCAUUUAUUUAAUUAGUUAGGAUUUUGUUAGGAUUUUAUUAGGAUUUUAUGAUAUUUAGUACUCUAUAAAUAGAGUAUUGAACUAUUAUUUGAGAUAUGAAUAAUAUAUGCAAUUUGUUUCCUUUUCUCAAUUCUCUAUCAAUUCUCUAUCAUUGUUCUUGUUCUUGGUAUAAUCGGAAACCACCUAAAGGUUCCCUUUGUCCAAAGCCUAAUCGUUCUUCGAAAUCUCUUACGAGAUGACCUAGACGCUUCUACACACGAUCGUUCAUAUCAGAAAUCGAGAAAGAAAAACUCAAAAAAAUUUAUUCCAAUCAAAUAAUCUUACCUCUGACGGUAGGGUUUGACUCGCUAAUGGAUGCACUAUUCUUUGCCACUUCACUACUUCGAUUUUUCAAAGUUAGGGUUGAAUACGAAAAUCGUGUGCUCUCAAAUGGGGAAGCUUCACUCUUAGAUUUCGAUUUUGGGUUUCGAUUUGGCAACGAGUUUCAUACAUUGGAUUUGGAAACCAGUAAGCUUUGGGAUUUCGCUUUUGGGAUUUGGCUUUUGGAUCUGGGAACAAAGUUCAGAGCUUUAAUUUGGAAACAUGGUUGAAAGUUUUGAUUUGUGAACGCAAUUUAGAGGUUUGAUCUGGCAACGACGUUCAGAGCUUUGGUUUGGAAACAACCUUCAGAGGUGAGAUUAAGAGGUUCAAAGGUGUUCUCAUUCAGGAUGGGCAUUUGUUUCUGAAACCAAAACAUUUUCAAAAUUUUCCAAACAAAAAAAA